rnacentral:tRNA from 1 species
GGUGAGCUCUGUGGUAGAGCACUUAUCUCACAUGCACGAGAGCUGGGUUCAAUUCCCAGCACCA